UGCUCGCUCCUAACAAUGUUCAUCCCAAACACCUGUGCACAUUUAGAGAGGGACUCGGAGUUGUGCUUGGGGUCCCUUGCUCUGAUACACACAUUAGUUAAAUAUUGAACGUGAGAGGGCUUAAUAUUAAUACAACUUUUAACAACGGAUCUCUUGGCUCUCGCAUCGAUGAAGAACGCAGCGAAAUGCGAUAAGUAAUGUGAAUUGCAGAAUUCAGUGAAUCAUCGAAUUUUUGAACGCACCUUGCGCUCCCUGGUAUUCCGGGGAGCACGCCUGUUCGAGUGUCGUGAAAUUGUCAAACCGGGAUGCUUUUURGUUUCUCGGGUUGGUUGUUGGGCUUUGCAGUUCCUUUGAUUGGGAUGGCUGGCCUGAAAAGCAUUAGCUGGCUUUUAAUGUGGGAUUGGUUCUACUCAGCGUGAUAAUGAUUUGACCGCGGAGGACAUCUGACGAGAUGACCAAUUCUGAUUAGGGCUGCUUCUAAUUUUGGUCGAGCGGAUUGUGAAUCUGGUUGACUUUUGGGCUUUUGACCUCGAAUCAGGUGGGACUACCCGCUGAACUUAAGCAUAUCAAUAAGCGGAGGAAAAGAAACUAACAAGGAUUCCCCUAGUAACCGGCGAGUGAAGCGGGAAGAGCUCAAAUUUAAAAUCUGGCAGUCUUUGA
rnacentral:rRNA from 1 species